rnacentral:rRNA from 1 species
GACGAACGCUGGCGGCGUGCUUAACACAUGCAAGUCGAACGGAAAGGCCCUGCUUUUGUGGGGUGCUCGAGUGGCGAACGGGUGAGUAACACGUGAGUAACCUGCCCUUGACUUUGGGAUAACUUCAGGAAACUGGGGCUAAUACCGGAUAGGAGCUCCUGCUGCACGGUGGGGGUUGGAAAGUUUCGGCGGUUGGGGAUGGACUCGCGGCUUAUCAGCUUGUUGGUGGGGUAGUGGCUUACCAAGGCUUUGACGGGUAGCCGGCCUGAGAGGGUGGCCGGCCACAUUGGGACUGAGAUACGGCCCAGACUCCUACGGGAGGCAGCAGUGGGGAAUAUUGCACAAUGGGCGGAAGCCUGAUGCAGCAACGCCGCGUGCGGGAUGACGGCCUUCGGGUUGUAAACCGCUUUCGCCUGUGACGAAGCGUGAGUGACGGUAAUGGGUAAAGAAGCACCGGCUAACUACGUGCCAGCAGCCGCGGUGAUACGUAGGGUGCGAGCGUUGUCCGGAUUUAUUGGGCGUAAAGGGCUCGUAGGUGGUUGAUCGCGUCGGAAGUGUAAUCUUGGGGCUUAACCCUGAGCGUGCUUUCGAUACGGGUUGACUUGAGGAAGGUAGGGGAGAAUGGAAUUCCUGGUGGAGCGGUGGAAUGCGCAGAUAUCAGGAGGAACACCAGUGGCGAAGGCGGUUCUCUGGGCCUUUCCUGACGCUGAGGAGCGAAAGCGUGGGGAGCGAACAGGCUUAGAUACCCUGGUAGUCCACGCUGUAAACGGUGGGUACUAGGUGUGGGGUCCAUUCCACGGGUUCCGUGCCGUAGCUAACGCUUUAAGUACCCCGCCUGGGGAGUACGGCCGCAAGGCUAAAACUCAAAGGAAUUGACGGGGCCCCGCACAAGCGGCGGAGCAUGCGGAUUAAUUCGAUGCAACGCGUAGAACCUUACCUGGGUUUGACAUGGAUCGGGAGUGCUCAGAGAUGGGUGUGCCUCUUUUGGGGUCGGUUCACAGGUGGUGCAUGCCUGUCGUCAGCUCGUGUCGUGAGAUGUUGGGUUAAGUCCCGCAACGAGCGCAACCCUUGUUCACUGUUGCCAGCACGUUAUGGUGGGGACUCAGUGGAGACCGCCGGGGUCAACUCGGAGGAAGGUGGGGAUGACGUCAAGUCCUCAUGCCCCUUAUGUCCAGGGCUUCACGCAUGCUACAAUGGCUGGUACAGAGAGUGGCGAGCCUGUGAGGGUGAGCGAAUCUCGGAAAGCCGGUCUCAGUUCGGAUUGGGGUCUGCAACUCGACCUCAUGAAGUCGGAGUCGCUAGUAAUCGCAGAUCAGCAACGCUGCGGUGAAUACGUUCCCGGGGCU